rnacentral:misc_RNA from 1 species
AAAUCUUUGCUCAUCAGGCCUUCAUCCUGAUGGUACAUGUUCGUGUGAACCAUUACUUACAACUGAAGAGUUCAGUACCCUUGCAAGUAUUUCACGAAUAAUUAUACUAGCUGAGGCCUUAUUUGAGGUCCUCGAUGAGAUCCAUCAACAAUCUUUCACACUUUCGCUAUCUACGCUCUCACUUCCAGCUCCAGAUUCUGUUGUGGACUCAUUUCCUG